GCCUACGCCCAUAUCACCCUGAAUGCGCCCGAUCUGAUCUGAUCUCGGAAGCUAAGCACGGUCGAGUCUGGUUAGUACUUUAUAUACUUCAGCCCCUUGGUGUUAGACU
rnacentral:rRNA from 1 species